rnacentral:rRNA from 1 species
GACAACGCUGGCGGCGUGCUUAACACAUGCAAGUCGAACGGAGCUUGAUUUGGAAGUCCUUCGGGGGCGGAAGCUUCAAGCUUAGUGGCGGACGGGUGAGUAACACGUGAGUAACCUGCCCUUCAGAGGGGGAUAACAUACCGAAAGGUAUGCUAAUACCGCAUAACGUAUACUUAAGGCAUCUUAAGAAUACCAAAGAUUUAUCGCUGAAGGAUGGACUCGCGGCCGAUUAGGUAGUUGGUGAGGUAACGGCCCACCAAGCCGACGAUCGGUAGCCGGACUGAGAGGUUGGCCGGCCACAUUGGGACUGAGACACGGCCCAGACUCCUACGGGAGGCAGCAGUGGGGAAUAUUGCGCAAUGGGGGAAACCCUGACGCAGCGACGCCGCGUGAAGGAUGAAGGUUUUCGGAUCGUAAACUUAUGUCUUCAGGGACGAGAAAGGACGGUACCUGAGGAGGAAGCCACGGCUAACUACGUG